rnacentral:rRNA from 1 species
UACAGAGGUCCCAAGCGUUGUUCGGAUUUACUGGGCGUAAAGGGUGCGUAGGUGGUUGGGUAAGUCUGAUGUGAAAUCUCCGGGCUCAACCCGGAAAUGGCAUUGGAUACUAUUCGACUAGAGGGUUGGAGGGGGGACUGGAAUACUUGGUGUAGCAGUGAAAUGCGUAGAUAUCAAGUGGAACACCAGUGGCGAAGGCGAGUCCCUGGACAACUCCUGACACUGAGGCACGAAAGCUAGGGGAGCAAACAGG